rnacentral:rRNA from 1 species
AGUGAACGCUGGCGGCGUGCUUAAUACAUGCAAGUCGAACGAUGAAGUCCUAGCUUGCUAGGAUGGAUUAGUGGCGCACGGGUGAGUAAUAUAUAGUUAAUCUGCCUUGCACUGAGGAACAACAGUUGGAAACGAUUGCUAAUACCUCAUACUCCAACUUUACAUAAGUUAAGUUGGGAAAGUCUUUUCGGUGCAAGAUGAGACUAUAUCGUAUCAGCUAGUUGGUAAGGUAAUGGCUUACCAAGGCUAUGACGCGUAACUGGUCUGAGAGGAUGAUCAGUCACAUUGGAACUGAGACACGGUCCAAACCCCUACGGGAGGCAGCAGUAAGGAAUAUUGUGCAAUGGGGGAAACCCUGACGCAGCAACGCCGCGUGGAGGAUGACACUUUUCGGAGCGUAAACUCCUUUUGUUAGGGAAGAAUAAUGACGGUACCUAACGAAUAAGCACCGGCUAACUCCGUG